UCUUUUUCUUCCACCCCUGCUCUCGCCGGAUCCCGGUCGCCCCACCGCAAAUCUAGCGGAGGGUCAGCUCGGGCUCGGCGGCGACCAGAGAGGAGGAGGGAAGUGGCGUGGUUCUCUCUCUCGCGCGCGCGUGCGGCGGAGACGGAGAAGGGCGCCGGCUGCUCCAGGCUGUAACCUCUGGACUGGAGUCCUUGUCGCGCCUAGAUGCUCCGCGCCUCCUCGCCACAGCGGCAAGACGGCGUCCUGUGGGCCAAGGCUGCUUCCUCGGCCGCCCUCCACCAGUACUAUGCCCUCCCAAAGAAGGGCAAGCCGCAGGGCCGCGAGUCCACCGUCCUCGCCGCCUUCGUGCUCUCCUCUCCAGAGAACCCACUGAACCCCACCGUCCUCUCCCUCGCCACCGGCACCAAGUGCCUCGGCGCAGCACGCCUCGGACCUCGCGGUGACCUCGUCCAUGACGCCCACGCCGAGGUCGUCGCCCGCCGCGCGCUGCUCCGCCUCAUUUAUGCCGAGAUUGGCACAGACAACCCACCAAGUUGGCUGGUUGCAUCUGGUGCUGAUGGGCGAUGGAGGCUCAAGGACGGGCAUCAGCUGCAUCUCUACAUCACCCAGAUCCCCUGUGGGAUCAUGCCGGUGCCGCCGUCACCCUUGGAAGUUCGAAGGGAACAAUUGGAUACCAUGGCGAACAGUGAUGUUGGUUUUGUUCAAAGGAAGCCAGGCCGUGGUGAUACAACAUUGUCAGUGAGCUGUUUUGACAAAAUUACUCGCUGGUGUGUCGUUGGGAUUCAAGGUGCAUUGCUGUCACACAUUCUCGAACCCUUGUAUUUGUCCACCAUUACCAUUGGACAAUCAUCUGAUGGUGCACCUGAAGGGUUUUGUAUUGAAGAUAACGUUGUAAAAGUUCUUGGUGCUCGUUUGUCCUGUCUAUCCAGUAAAUUCCCUGACCCUUUCAAACCGAACAAGCCACUAUUUUUUGAGGCACCUGUCCCCCCUAAAGAAUUUCAACAGACUUCGGGAGAUAUACCCCCUUUGACAUGCGGGUAUUCAAUAUGCUGGAAUAAAUCCGGUUUGCAUGAAGUUGUUUUAGGAACAACUGGGAGAAAACAAGGCACAUCUUCAAAGGCAGCAUCCUCACCCUCCACUGAGUCAUUGCUCUGCAAGAUAAGAUUGGCAGAGGCCUUCAUAUCACUUGAACAUCCAUUAGUCACAAAAUUCCGGCAUGAGAAGCUUUCUUAUCGUGCAAUUAAGGACAUGGCUUGUGAGUACCAGCAGAUGCUUGAGCUUCUUAGAAAGGCUCCAUUUUUUGGCCGGUGGCGUGCUAAGCCAGCAUCCGUUGAUUCGUUUACAGUUCGACGGUGAUAACCAAAUCUUGAAGUUCUAUGCUGUGUCCCAGAGGCUGGAUUUUGAAGUUCCUUAAUUCAACCAUAAUUUUAGCAGUUUUCUGUGCCAGCUCUUUCAACUUAUUUGUAGCAUCUAUGCUUCUGCACAAUACUGAAGUAUUGAACAGUGGUAGCCUGUAACAAACCUAUAAGGCCCUUUGAUGUUUGGCACCAUGAGGCGGUGACAGCGGCGCAGCUCUGAGUGCAGGCAUUAUGGAGCGUACAGCAGAGCGAGCCGUGACCCUAGGAGAAGACCCUCGUUCAAAUCACCAUGCUCUGGCAUAAUUUGUCACGCCUGAGUUAAACAUGUUUAAAUGAAGGGAUAAUAGGUGUCAGUCAGGUUAAUUUUCAAGCUUCAGUAGUCACAAGAUCACGCAAUAGUUAGGACUAUAGUUAGGACUAUACAUCCAAGAUCACGCAAUGAUUCAGAGGACUUGCGGCCAAACCUCUCUGUGAAAACUGGCGCGGUUUGUCAAAAAAAUUCUGUGGAAGUAGUCACAAGGGUUAUUACCAGGUACGCAUUACCUGAAUGAUCUCUUUUUCUAGGCAGAUCUCAAUGUAGUUUAACUUGCAACUGGGGCGUUGAGAUUGAUCAGUGAGUGCAGUGCUUUUGCAGUACGGGCUAUAUGUUCUCAACAAAGCAAAAUAAAGGGUUAAUAGUAGCAGCUGCUGACAAACAAGACCUGUUUUGGAUGAACAAAUAAAAUUCAUCUUUUUUUACCCACUGCAUAUCCCUUUAUUAGACCAGGACAGUUCCACCAUCAUCUAUCAGUGUAGGCUGUAGAAGCAAGGAAAUCUGGGGGAUAGUAUAUGAGCUAACAAAUGAUUAAAACCGUCUUGCUUUAGUUUGCAGUGCUGCCAAAAGGAAAUCUUGUUUUGGUUGUAGCAUACUGGUAUUUUG